UUACAUUCAUCUAAGCCGUGCUCUUGUGCUAUAAACUCAAUCCUCAAAAUACAUCUCAUUUGUUUUUUUCAGCUCCAAACUCUGUUCCAGCAGCAUCUCGGUGAGUGUAGCUCUACUGCUAAUGCUACCUCUGCCACUCCAACAUCAGUACCAUUAACAUCUACCCCCCCGCCCUCUGAGCUCAGCACUCUGUCAGACAUCAACACCACAGCAACCACAUCUGGCAACUUCAGUUCUACUCCUGAUACACAGAACGUCAGCACAGUGACUGAGGUUCAGUUUCAAAACUGGACGUCUGCAAGCAGUUCAGUAAAAGAAAAUGAAACGGCUACCAGCCCCUUUCAACAUGUUGAGGUCAUGUGUGAUGAGAAGACUGAAAUAAGGUUAGUUACGACUGUAGUGAUCUCUCUGAACCCUCCAUUAUAGUAUUGUGAUACAGUGAUGAACAUGAUCUCUGGUGACACUGGUUCUGUUUGUCACACAGGAAGACUUUGUGCACUGUACUGCUGCAGUUAAGUCAGGUUGCCAGUCCGUGCUGCAUCGCGCGCAUUGUGAACAUAGUUGAAAUCAACUCCACCAUACAGGGCCAGGUGAUUGGAAACCAAGUGCAGAGAGUGGGUAUGUAUUAUUACACGUCACACGUUCAGCAUGUGUCCAACAUUACAUAGUCAGGAUAUAAAAUCUGUUAAAAAUGAGUAUAGUUACUGUUUUUUUGUUUUGACCAAAACUCUAUAAGCCAACAGUGUGCCAUUUUAUGGUCUGCAUUAUUAAGAUUAGUACUUUAUAUCCUCCUGAGACCCGGACUUUAG
rnacentral:lncRNA from 1 species